ACGAUGCAGAGGCACAGAAUGAAACGUAUUUAGAACAGAUGUUAGUAUUUUUUAAAAAGUCACGUGAAAUGAGCAGAUGUUCAGACUGUGCAGAGGCUCGCCGUGCAGUGCAUUACUCUGCAGAGAGCGAGAGCUCGGAGGAGCUUUGCUUCCACACAGACACGAACGGUGAGUCUGUAGUCCUACAUUCAGAUCAUCCAUUAGGUUUGAUUCAAAUGGAUUAAUAAAAGGGCCACCUGCAGGGAGUCACAUGGACCUGACUGACCGCGCUGAGACAAAGCAGGAGCGUCAGUGCAGGACACCGACUCUUCACACGUGGCGUCAGGAUCCUUCAGUCCGUCGACUGAGGAGCCACCUGGUCAGAUGACCUGGUGACAUGACACAAUGACACAAUGACAUGAAGAACAACAGCAACAAUAUGAAAAACAAGUUUGUUUGUUUUUAUAUAUAUCGAAACGGCUAUGAUUUGUUUUAUGGUUGUUUAGUUGAUUUAAAAAAACGUGUUUUAUGUUAAUUAUUAAAAAGCAUUUUGCCAGAGUAGGAUGUAUUUCUCUGAUAAUUUGUACUGUAAUUCUGAUGUAUUAAUGCUGUGCAACACCAGCCAUGAAAAACAAUUGAUUUAAGAGUUUGUACAUUGUUGUUAUGAGGUUUAUUUUCACUGCUUUUGAUGCUUAUCACUGCACAUUACUUAAAAAACAGCUGUGUAUUAAUUUUAUAUAGUAUUAUUAUCAACAUUUGUGUAAAUAUGUAUAUCUAAAAAUGACAUAUAAUAUUAUUAUAAUUAUUAUUAUUAUUGUAAUCUCAAAUGCUCAUAUUUAUACAUAUGAAAUUAAUACUUUCCUAUUUAUUAAAGUGAAAAAAAUCUAGUUUUGCAGCCCAGAUGAAAAGCUGUUAUUAGGAAUAAACUAUUAUAACAGUGAAGUCUGUCUGAGACCCCAAGAACCCACUGAUAAUCUCAGUGUAAGACAGCAUAAACCUCAUUUUAUCUCCUCUAUCUCCAUGCCAUCAGGGUGCUGGCUUUGUCCUCCACAACAGAGGACCGGCUGUUUGUGACCUUAGUGCUAAAUCAAGUUCAAAGACGACCACUGGUGUUUAGCAGAUAGUUUUACAUAAGGGCAGUGGGAGAACAGUGUGUUUGGUCAACCUCUGGCUCCCCCUUUGAUUCGCAGCUCUCUGUGACCCCUGGCAGAGCGACACCACUUAAGGCGCUUCAUUCAGCCACACUGGUCAGUCUGAUAAGAUCUGGGUGAUAACUGACUUGACUAUCAGUCUCUGUUCAGUUAACCAAAUUAUUUUCAUUACUUAACAUUUUUACACAAAGGUUCCAUCCCUUUUAAAUAUACUGUUGCACAUCAAGAAAUUAUUUUGGCAGUAUCACAUAGAGCAGUCCCACUCCAGUAAAAGAGAAAUUAGAUUAGAGUAAUAAUAUAUGAAACAGUAACUGUGAGUGGUUGGAUUCCUGAGGAAUGAGUCCACUCUGUCACAGAAAAACACUUUCACCAAGGCAUUUAUUAAUUCCCACUGUGUCAAUAGGGUAUAUGAAUGCUAAUUAGUUCAAGUGAUCAUAAUAAAAUCAAUUUAGAUGAACAAAUUCUAUUUCACUUCAAAUGUUGAGAGUUUGUCUAAAAGUUCCCAUUUAUAUAUGUACAAUCACUAAUGCGUGACUGUAUAAAGUCCUUUUGAACUGGAAGUAGAUGUUGUGCAUUGUUGGCAUAUGUUUCUUUUGUUUUUAUCCAAGGGAUAUAAAAGAGGAAAUAAAACUUCAAUCACUCAUGCAAUGAAUUAAAUCCUUGUUUAUCAUUUGAACGACCUACUUUGGUGCAGCUGAUUGGCAGUCAUUCACUUUUCCCUUUUUAAAAUAUAUGAACAAGAUGUCAGAACCACAGUAUCUACCAUGUGAAAGCAGCAGUUUAGUCUGGGCCACGUUCUGCUGUUUUUGAAGCAAAUAGUCUGGUACCAGCGUACAGUACAUUAUCCAAGAGCAAAGAAAUACAUGUGGCACAUUAACUUUCCACGGACGACGUCUGAACACAACUGGAAACCAAUCAGGAAAAACAGUACUGUGUUUAUUUUGUAUUACAAGUGUAUUAUCACAUUAUAAGAAUGAAUAAUGUAUUGUGUUUAGUCUGCUGUUGUUUUAGGACAAAACUCAAAGUAUUAAUAAAAUGAUUCUCUGAAGCAGGA